UAGGGAAUCUUCCGCAAUGGACGAAAGUCUGACGGAGCAACGCCGCGUGAGUGAAGAAGGAUUUCGGUUCGUAAAACUCUGUUGUUAGGGAAGAAAAAAUGUAUAGUAACUAUAUACAAAAGAGACGGUACCUAACCAGAAAGCCACGGCUAACUACGUGCCAGCAGCCGCGGUAAUACGUAGGUGGCAAGUGUUGUCCGGAAUUAUUGGGCGUAAAGCGCGCGCAGGUGGUUUAGAAAGUCUGAUGUGAAAGCCCACGGCUCAACCGUGGAGGGUCAUUGGAAACUAAUAAACUUGAGUGCAGGAGAGAAAAGUGGAAUUCCUAGUGUAGCGGUGAAAUGCGUAGAGAUUAGGAGGAACACCGGUGGCGAAAGCGGCUUUUUGGCCUGCAACUGACACUGAGGCGCGAAAGCGUGGGGAGCAAACAGG
rnacentral:rRNA from 1 species